AGGCGUUGAAGCAGUGUACGUCGGACUUCCAAGAAAAGCUCGCAAUGUCAUAAAUAGAAAAUGCCUGUACCAUAACCGACACAGGUGGGUAGGUAGAGUAUACUAAGGGGCGCGAGAUAACUCUCUCUAAGGAACUCGGCAAAAUGACUCCGUAACUUCGGGAGAAGGAGUGCCUUAUUUAUAAGGUUGCAAUAACAAGAUCCAAGCAACUGUUAUCAAAAACACAGGUCUCCGCUAAGUCGUAAGACGAUGUAUGGGGGCUGACGCCUGCCCAGUGCCAGAAGGUUAAAGAAGUUGGUUAGUGUAUGCGAAGCUGAUGACUGAAGCCCUGGUGAACGGCGGCCGUAACGAUAACGGUCCUAAGGUAGCGAAAUUCCUUGUCGGGUAAGUUCCGACCCGCACGAAAGGCGUAAUGAUUUGGAUACUGUCUCGGAGAGAGGCUCGGUGAAAUAGACUUGUCUGUGAAGAUGCGGACUACCUGCACCAGGACAGAAAGACCCUAUGAAGCUUUACUGUAACUUGAAAUUGGAAUUGGACUUUGCUUGCGCAGUAUAGGUGGGAAGCGUUGAAGAUAUUCUUGCGGGAGUAUUGGAGCUAUCAGUGAGAUACCACUCUUGUAAUGUUAGAUUUCUAACUUUGAACCAUAAUCUGGUCAAAGAACAGUUUCAGGUGGGCAGUUUGACUGGGGCGGUCGCCUCCCAAAUGGUAACGGAGGCGUACAAAGGUUUCCUCUGAACGGAUAGAAAUCGUAUCUAGAGUGUAAGGGCAUAAGGAAGCUUGACUGUGAGACCUACAAGUCGAGCAGGGACGAAAGUCGGUCUUAGUGAUCUGACGGUACUGAGUGGAAAGGCCGUCACUCAACGGAUAAAAGUUACUCUAAGGAUAACAGGCUGAUCUCCCCCAAGAGUUCACAUCGACGGGGAGGUUUGGCACCUCGAUGUCGGCUCAUCGCAUCCUGGGGCGGUAGUACGUCCCAAGGGUUGGGCUGUUCGCCCAUGAAAGCGGUACGCGAGCUGGGUUCAGAACGUCGUGAGACAGUUCGGUCCAUAUCCGGUGUAGGCGUUAGAAUAUUGAGAGGAGCCUUCUUUAGUACGAGAGGACCGAGAAGGACACACCGCUGGUGUACCAGUUAUCGUGCCAACGGUAAACGCUGGGUAGCUAUGUGUGGAGUGGAUAACCGCUGAAAGCAUCUAAGUGGGAAGCCCACCUCAAGAUGAG
rnacentral:rRNA from 1 species